AUUGAACGCUGGCGGCAGGCCUAACACAUGCAAGUCGAGCGGCAGCGACUUAACUGAACCUUCGGGGAACGUUAAGGGCGGCGAGCGGCGGACGGGUGAGUAAUGCCUGGGAAUAUGCCCUGAUGUGGGGGAUAACUAUUGGAAACGAUAGCUAAUACCGCAUAAUCUCUUCGGAGCAAAGAGGGGGACCUUCGGGCCUCUCGCGUCAGGAUUAGCCCAGGUGGGAUUAGCUUGUUGGUGAGGUAAUGGCUCACCAAGGCUACGAUCCCUAGCUGGUCUGAGAGGAUGAUCAGCCACACUGGAACUGAGACACGGUCCAGACUCCUACGGGAGGCAGCAGUGGGGAAUAUUGCACAAUGGGGGAAACCCUGAUGCAGCCAUGCCGCGUGUGUGAAGAAGGCCUUCGGGUUGUAAAGCACUUUCAGUAGGGAGGAAGGUAGUGUAGUUAACACCUGCAUUAUUUGACGUUACCUACAGAAGAAGCACCGGCUAACUCCGUGCCAGCAGCCGCGGUAAUACGGAGGGUGCGAGCGUUAAUCGGAAUUACUGGGCGUAAAGCGCAUGCAGGCGGCCUGUUAAGUCAGAUGUGAAAGCCCGGGGCUUAACCUCGGAAUUGCAUUUGAAACUGGCAGGCUAGAGUCUUGUAGAGGGGGGUAGAAUUUCAGGUGUAGCGGUGAAAUGCGUAGAGAUCUGAAGGAAUACCAGUGGCGAAAGCGGCCCCCUGGACAAAGACUGACGCUCAGAUGCGAAAGCGUGGGGAGCAAACAGG
rnacentral:rRNA from 1 species